UAUUAUUUGCAGUUCGCACCCUAAGAGC
rnacentral:sRNA from 1 species